rnacentral:rRNA from 1 species
GACGAACGCUGGCGGCGUGCUUAACACAUGCAAGUCGAACGGAAAGGCCCUGCUUUUGUGGGGUGCUCGAGUGGCGAACGGGUGAGUAACACGUGAGUAACCUGCCCUUGACUUUGGGAUAACUUCAGGAAACUGGGGCUAAUACCGGAUAGGAGCUCCUGCUGCAUGGUGGGGGUUGGAAAGUUUCGGCGGUUGGGGAUGGACUCGCGGCUUAUCAGCUUGUUGGUGGGGUAGUGGCUUACCAAGGCUUUGACGGGUAGCCGGCCUGAGAGGGUGGCCGGCCACAUUGGGACUGAGAUACGGCCCAGACUCCUACGGGAGGCAGCAGUGGGGAAUAUUGCACAAUGGGCGGAAGCCUGAUGCAGCAACGCCGCGUGCGGGAUGACGGCCUUCGGGUUGUAAACCGCUUUCGCCUGUGACGAAGCGUGAGUGACGGUAAUGGGUAAAGAAGCACCGGCUAACUAC